GGGGAAGUAGUGGGCGGCGAGGAAGACGAGACGGGGUUUUCAGAUCGUCGGUCGGUCGAGGCCCGGAGAGUCGACUGACGAAAGUUCAAAUUUCAAAAUUCCAAGGAUUUGAUCUUGUUAUUGUGAUUGGAUUUGAUUGCUACCGUUGCCUUCACUUGAUCGUGAUCUGAGGGAGUUGAUUUUGCUGUUAUUACCUUCACUGCGAUCGUGAUCUAAGGGAUUUGAUUGCUGCUGUUGCCUUCACUAGAUCGUGAUUUGAGGAAUUUGAUUUUGUUGUUGUUGUUGGCUAAACUAGGAUCAUGAUCAGAGGAUCUUGCUGCUGUUGCCUAAACUAGGAUCGUGAUCUGAGAGAUUUUUGCCAUUGUUGACUCCUGGGAUCAUGAUAGGAGGGAUUUGAAUAUCCGGCUGUAGCUCCUAGGAUUGAGGUGUGAUUGAUUUGAAGGUGCGGCCGUAGAUCCUAGGAUCGUGGUGUGAUUGAUUUGUUGCUGAGAUCACAAAAGUAAUUAUUUGAAAUUGUUGGACUUAAAUGUAAAAUUAACUUGUAAAGUAAGGUGCGUCAACCUUUUCGGGACGGAGAAAGGGAGUACCAAGUACCUAAAAUUUACUCCUAUUAAGGUCUGAGAGAGUGUCGGUCGUUGAACUUCCGCUUGUGAUGGCAACACAUAUCACAACGUCUCUACGUGCUAGAUGAAAUAUCCAAACUCACGUUUGGUUAGUAUUCAGGCAUAUGACAAGCCAAAAGUUUUUGCAGGCAUAUGACUAGCCACUCAAAAAAGAUUAAUGCUAAGUUUAUGGUACAACUUCUGUGUACUCAAACAAGAAAAAUGAAACAUAUUAUGAUCCGAAGGUAAUUAGGUAUAGCUCCUCGACACGUCAUUUGGCAGAACGAAAAAAGAGCAUAACAUUCUUAGUACAAAGAUCGUCGGAAGAAUACUUCCUCCGUCCCACAUCAAGUGACUCAAAUUUGUCCAAAUAUGAAUGAAUCUAAGCCUAAAAAGCAUCUAGAUACAUGUAAUAGAAAGUCACUUUAUAUGGGACGGAGGGAGUACAAACAUACACGGAUACAUACACGAAUAAUUAGCGCUGCAGAGCAACAAAUGAUUAUCUAAAAAAUACACCUUGCACUAGCAAGUGACGAGUAAUAAGAGAACCACCAAACAGAUAGUCGAAAUGCAUGUCUCGAUUACAGUCUAACGAUGCAUAAUUCAGGGAAAUUUGGUAAUGAUAAAACAAA